rnacentral:ribozyme from 1 species
AUUACCACAGUCCCAGCUGGUGAAUGGCAUAGAAGUUGAAAAUACCAAAUUGAAUUCUUCUGCAACAAAGGAAUCACAGGCAAGCGAGGACAAGACAAGUAAAAUCAUGGGAAUUCCACAAGCACCACCAGCAAUAACAGCAAACC